rnacentral:tRNA from 1 species
GAGAAUAUAGCUCAGUGGUAGAGUACAUGCCUCGCAUGUACAAGGCCCUGGGUUCAAACCCCAGUAACUUCA